UGCCAGCCGCCGCGGUAAGACGUAGGAUGCGAGCGUUGUCCGGAAUUACUGGGCGUAAAGCGUACGUAGGCGGUCAUCUAAGUCUGGGGUUAAAGACCAAGGCUCAACCUUGGGAGUGCCCUGGAUACUGGGUGACUGGAGGACGGCAGAGGAAAGUGGAAUUCCCAGUGUAGCGGUGAAAUGCGUAGAUAUUGGGAGGAACACCAGUGGCGAAAGCGACUUUCUGGGCCGUUCCUGACGCUGAGGUACGAAAGCCAGGGGAGCAAACGGGAUUAGAUA
rnacentral:rRNA from 1 species